rnacentral:rRNA from 1 species
AUGGCGCCCCAUCCAGUUUGGAAGAAGUUGUGGAGUUUGAGAGGGCCAGCGAAAGUUAAAAUUUAUAUCUGGAGAUGCUUGCACAUUGUCAUCCCAUGCUGGAGUACUCUUAUGAAUCGCCAUGUUGGAAACUUGUCCCAAUACCCAUACUGUACAGAUGGUGCGGAGGACUUAGCCCAUAUGCUGUUUAAGUGUGCAAGGGCGCAAGCAGUUUGGGAAGCUUUGGGAAUCGCAGCAGAUAUUAACUUUGCUUUGACUGAUCGAGCAGGUUCAACAGUCUUGGAGUUCAUUUUAUGUUAUGAUUAUUAUCGGCGACAAUAUUCUGGAUUGGUCGAGCUACCAGAGCUCAUAUCAACAGUUUGUUGGUUCUUAUGGUGGCAAAGAAGAGAGUUCGUACGAGGGGAAGAAAUAUUGACUCCAGAACGAACAGCGCCGGCGGUGGUUGCCUUAGCGAUUAAUUAUGUGCGCGGGGCACAAGCUAAAUCUACACCCAAGAUCAACAGGUGGCCGACGUUCCUAGCAGGACAACUUGUCCUUAAUGUCGAUGCUUCAUUCACAGAGGGCGAUUAUGCAGGGUCUUGUGGUGCUGUCAUCCGUGAUCACCGGGGAUUUUUCAUGUUGGCGUCCACGGCGAGAUUAGAACAUGUAGCUGAUGUGUUCACGGCAGAAGCGGCAUCUCUGCUUGAAGGGCUGAAGCUAGCAAGAGAUACGGGAUGCAAUAACUUGGUGGUGAGAUAG